rnacentral:rRNA from 1 species
AAGUCGUAACAAGGUUCCCUUCUGCAGCGCAGCUCCGGAGACCUUGCACCCCGAACGGGAGGCAGCACGACGAUAAACAAAGCUCGCCGCGUGCAAGUUGGCCGCACGGUCAGCAACACGAUCGAAUUGACGGGGACCUCCUAAAGCCUGCAACACCAACCGUCCGGGGAAACUCGGGCGGGGCCCUCACGGGGUGGUAAGAGAGUGCAGGAUGAACAAUGGACGAUCCGCAGCGAAGACCCUACCGGCGAGAGCCCACGGGUACCGUUCACAGACUAAGUGAUUGUGGGCGGGGCGUCAGGCCCCGUCUAAGAUAUAGUCGGUCUUUGUCCGAAAGGGCAGUGCCUAGCGCGUCCGUAGGUGAACCUGCGGAAGGAUCAUUAAAGAAUCGCCCCGUUUUUUGAAAUGGGUUCUAUUCCCAAACCGUGUAUACAUACCUUUGUUGCUUUGGCAGGCCGCCUUUUAGGCGUCGGCUCCGGCUGACUGCGCCUGCCAGAGGACCCAAACUCGUUUGUUUAGUGAUGUCUGAGUACUAUAUAAUAGUUAAAACUUUCGACAACGGAUCUCUUGGUUCUGGCAUCGAUGAAGAACGCAGCGAAAUGCGAUAAGUAAUGUGAAUUGCAGAAUUCAGUGAAUCAUCGAAUCUUUGAACGCACAUUGCGCCCCUUGGUAUUCCGAGGGGCAUGCCUGUUCGAGCGUCAUUACAACCACUCAAGCCUUGGCUUGGUCUUGGGGUUCGCGGUCUCGCGGCCCUUAAAAUUAGUGGCGGUGCCGUCUGGCUCUAAGCGUAGUAAUUCUCUCGCUAUAGAGUCCCGGUGGUUACCUGCCAGAGCCCCCCAUUUUUUACGGUUGACCUCGGAUCAGGUAGGGAUACCCGCNGAACUUAA